AAGUCGAACGAGGUUCUGAUUAUUGAAAGGUGCUUGCAUCUUGAUUUAAUUUUGAACGAGUGGCGGACGGGUGAGUAACACGUGGGUAACCUGCCCUUAAGUGGGGGANUACAUUUGGAAACAGAUGCUAAUACCGCAUAAAUCCAAGAACCGCAUGGUUCUUGGCUGAAAGAUGGCGUAAGCUAUCGCUUUUGGAUGGACCCGCGGCGUAUUAGCUAGUUGGUGAGGUAACGGCUCACCAAGGCAAUGAUACGUAGCCGAACUGAGAGGUUGAUCGGCCACAUUGGGACUGAGACACGGCCCAAACUCCUACGGGAGGCAGCAGUAGGGAAUCUUCCACAAUGGACGCAAGUCUGAUGGAGCAACGCCGCGUGAGUGAAGAAGGCUUUCGGGUCGUAAAACUCUGUUGUUGGAGAAGAAUGGUCGGCAGAGUAACUGUUGUCGGCGUGACGGUAUCCAACCAGAAAGCCACGGCUAACUACGUGCCAGCAGCCGCGGUAAUACGUAGGUGGCAAGCGUUAUCCGGAUUUAUUGGGCGUAAAGCGAGCGCANGCGGUUUUUUAAGUCUGAUGUGAAAGCCCUCNGCUUAACC
rnacentral:rRNA from 2 species